rnacentral:rRNA from 1 species
UUAGCGGCGGACGGGUGAGUAACACGUGGAUAACCUACCUAUAAGACUGGGAUAACUUCGGGAAACCGGAGCUAAUACCGGAUAAUAUUUUGAACCGCAUGGUUCAAAAGUGAAAGACGGUCUUGCUGUCACUUAUAGAUGGAUCCGCGCUGCAUUAGCUAGUUGGUAAGGUAACGGCUUACCAAGGCAACGAUGCAUAGCCGACCUGAGAGGGUGAUCGGCCACACUGGAACUGAGACACGGUCCAGACUCCUACGGGAGGCAGCAGUAGGGAAUCUUCCGCAAUGGGCGAAAGCCUGACGGAGCAACGCCGCGUGAGUGAUGAAGGUCUUCGGAUCGUAAAACUCUGUUAUUAGGGAAGAACAUAUGUGUAAGUAACUGUGCACAUCUUGACGGUACCUAAUCAGAAAGCCACGGCUAACUACGUGCCAGCAGCCGCGGUAAUACGUAGGUGGCAAGCGUUAUCCGGAAUUAUUGGGCGUAAAGCGCGCGUAGGCGGUUUUU